ACACACCUCUUCUUCCUCAUAGAUUCAUCUUCAAUCCAAACACACAUCUUCUUCCUAAUUCUUCACCACCAUCUCCACCUUUCACCACCACCACCAUCCACCUUUCACCACCAUACCCCACCCUUCACUCCGAAUUGUCGCUACCUCGUUAUUCUGGAGCCGAUUUCAAGUGAACUUAUUCUAAACGAGCUUUAAGCAAGUCUUGAUUCACGAGCUAUAUCAACAGACCUAAUUCUGAUUAUCUGAAAGCUGUAAUUUGUUAUUUGCUGAUUGUUGAAUGUGAUCUAAAUGUGCAGAGGAGAAGAGUACUAAGAAGCAUCUGCAAGCACAAACUUUGUAUUUCCAACUAAGUGAAGCCAUGGAUUUUUUAUACCAUAUCUGCACAGAAGGUUGCAAGAAGAGAGUUAACGGAGGUUGUGUUCGGUGUAAACGUAUGUGGCAGCUCUUCAAACUCCACUCCUCAAUUUGUGAUCAAUCACCCGAUACAUCAUGCAAAGUCCCCCUCUGCAGGAUAGGCAAGGGCACGGUGAAUGGUGGUGGUGAAAGAUGGAGAUGGUGGUAAAGAAUUUGGAAGAAGAUGUAUGUUUGGAUUGAAGAUGAAUCUGAAUAUGAGGAAGAAGAGGUGUGUUUGGAUUGAAGGUGGUUAUUGAUUUAAAGUUAUUUUUUUAAUAUUAAGGGUAUUUAAGUCAUUUCACACCCACUUAACUGAAAAGACUAACCUCCAUCCGUGCCAGGGACUAUCUGGGAACGAAAUUGAAAAACUUGGGGACUAUAGCUGUAAUUUUAGAAAGUUAGGGACUAAAGAUGAAAAAAGUCCAAACCACAGGGACUAUCCGGGCAUUUAACUCUAAAAAAAUUAAACAAUAAAACAAAUCAGACCUAACCCCCUUUCUCUCUCAAAACCAUCUCUGUAUAUCACCCCCUUUCUCUCUCAAAACCCACCACCACAUGCCCUUCGCUGUAACCCAAAAACACAGUGUCGAUUUGUGACUGUAAUUAUCACCACCACCGUCGCCGUCACCACCACCACCUGACCUUAAGUUAGAGAGAGAGGCUGAAAGAGAAGGAUGGUUUCGGAAUCGCCGCCACGCCGGAAGAACGCUGUGGGGUAUCAAAGAAGACAAUGUAAUUUUCCGGAAUCGCCGCCACGUCGGAAGAACGCUGUUAUUGAAAUCCUUUGUCAUGGGUUCAUACCUAUUUAAUCAUUGUGUUUACUCGAAGAAUAUAAUUAAGAGGUUGAAGUUGCUGUUAAGUUUGUUGAAUCAGGUGAGUUUCUUCUGCAGAUGAUGUUUGUGUAUCUGGUAGGUUUAUUAUAAGGGCAUUGAGUUGUAAUUUAAUGAAAAAAAAAUUGGAUGAAUUUGAUUAGGUUUGAAUCCUCAGUUUAGUGAAGAAAUUUUGGUAGGUUGUCGGGUAGAGAGAGGGGCAUUCAAAUGCUUGGGUGCUCAAAACUUGCAGCAAAUGGAAUGAAAGAACAAGGUAGCAACUAGCAAUUGAUAUUCUAGAAACAAAAAUAUGUGGGGAAGGAUUGUAAUUAGAUCUGAUAGGAUGGAAAGUUUUUUGUUUUUUGUGUUUUUAAAGUUGUUUAUUUAUUUAUAAAUAUACUUUUAAAUACAAUGACCGAAAU